GUAUGAUCAUGUGACGAACUCGAACGCAGGCAGAGCUGGUAACGGAGGACCGAAUGCCAAUCUCAUUGAGAAAGCGCAUUCAUUGCGCGUGAGAGACGGGAGGGACAGACGUUUCCAGCGCUGCGCAUCACACACACACACGCACGCACGCACGCACCCACAGACAAGACACAGGAAGCUUUGUGGAGCUCGGGGGAAAGAGACAUUUUCAACGCCUCAGGAGGAAGUUAAGGACAAAUCUUUCGCUAAACACAUCAAGAGGGGCGCCGGGCACGCGGGAGUCGUCUUAUGGUUAAGAGAAACUUGUGGAAUUUACCGGGCAAAUUGUUCUUGUUUCCUGAAAAGAGACCUGGCUUCCCCUUCCACCCAUUCGCGUUAAAUUUUUGUAUAUUUGAUUUAAUUUCAUCAGCUUCCAUUAAACAACUGUCAUCCCCCGAAUCGCACUAUUGCAGCAGCGCACGGUGCGUAAAGACAGGAGACGCGAGCCUUUCCGCGCACGAGCUAUAAACACUUGCCUCUUUCGCUGGCGCUUUUAUACCCUAUUUAUUAUUUAUAGUUCAGCCUAUUUAUUUGGGACUUUUCUGUCUGCUUCGGGGCCUCGGUGGUGAUUCUUGUGGAAUAUGGUGGGGGAAAUGGAAACGAAAGAGAAGCCGAAGCCGACCCCAGAUUAUCUGAUGCAGUUGAUGAACGAUAAGAAACUGAUGAGCAGUCUGCCCAACUUCUGCGGGAUCUUCAACCACCUGGAACGGCUUCUGGACGAAGAGAUCAGCAGGGUACGAAAGGACAUGUACAACGACACAUUAAACGGCAGCACGGACAAGAGAAGCUCUGAGCUCCCAGAUGCCGUCGGUCCCAUUGUGCAGCUCCAAGAGAAACUCUACGUGCCUGUUAAAGAAUAUCCUGACUUUAAUUUUGUGGGCCGGAUCUUGGGCCCGCGAGGGCUCACGGCCAAACAGCUGGAGGCAGAGACAGGAUGUAAGAUCAUGGUGAGAGGAAAAGGCUCCAUGAGGGACAAGAAGAAGGAGGAGCAGAACAGAGGAAAGCCCAACUGGGAGCAUUUAAAUGAAGACCUUCAUGUUCUCAUCACGGUGGAGGAUGCACAGAACCGGGCUGAGAUCAAGCUGAAGCGUGCGAUGGAGGAAGUUAACAAGCUACUCGUGCCUGCGGCGGAAGGAGAGGACAGCCUGAAGAAGAUGCAGCUAAUGGAACUAGCCAUUCUGAACGGCACCUACAGAGACGCCAAUAUCAAAUCACCUGCCCUUGCGUUCUCUCUUGCAGCCAGCGCCCAGGCGCCCCGGAUCAUCACAGGCCCUGGACCCGUCCUGCAGCCCACAGCCUUGCGUACACCCACGCCUGCUGGGCACACCCUCAUGCCCCUCAUUCGCCAGAUCCAGACCGUCAUGCCCAACGGCUCCACCCACCCGGGGGCUGCCACCCUGGUGCAGCCCGGUCCGGAGUCAGGCCUGAUUUACGCGACGCCCUACGAUUACCCCUACACGCUGGGCCCGGCCACCUCUAUUCUGGAGUAUCCAAUCGACUCCACCGGGGUGUUAGCAUCCUCAAAGGCCGAAGAGCUGCCCCUCUACCUGGGCUUUCAGACCUGUCACAUUCCCAUCACAGUCCAGCGUGGAGAGCCGACCGGUCGGCCUCCCUUUUAAAGUGGCCCUACUCUAUCCCCACCCCCCUCCGACAUCCCCGCCCUCACACCACAGACACCCCCACUCCCCGUGUCCCCCAACUCGGACUGGCUGGACUUUCCAGCCUCUUAACUUCUGUUUCCUUGAGUCAUGUUUGAUUUUUGUUUUUUGUAUUUUUGUUUUUAUCUUCAAUGUGAUGUGUUUAGUUUUGUGUGUUUGUGUACCAUGAUGAGGGAAACAAAGCACUGAGCCCCAAAACUGCUGCACAAGUCUUUCUGGAUGACCCCCGUCACUCAGUCCAAGCGGGCCGCAUCAGAGUGAGGGGCGUCAGGAGGGGCAACAUGAGGAUGUUUAAGGGACAGCGGGGGUCACAUGAGGUGGGGGAGAGGAGGGACUAUUUACAAGUCUGGUGUUGUGUGUUGUUUCCCCAAGGACCAGCAGUCCCAGCACUAAUUUCCCCUUCCUUUGUUCUUUAGGCGUGGCUUUCCCUACGAAAGGCCAAAUUCAUUUCCCAGGAUCCUCACUGUGCCCCUCAUCCCAUCCGAGUGUUAACACACAUGCGCUUUCGUUCACAGCUGCCUUUUGGUUUCGAGCAAUAUUUGUUCAGAAGCAUGAACCUAGCAGUCAGCAAAACACACUCCUGUAUGUUUACACUAGGCUGUAUUGUAACACAUUUUCCUUGGACUGUGCUCCUGACUGCUAUUUUUGGCUUUUUUCAGAAGGAAAAAAAACCUUUACUAAUCACUUAAUGCAUUGCCCUUUUUGUACCACAGCAGACGUGCCUAAAUGUUUGUUCUCUCUGUGCCAUCGCUCGGAGAGUGAGUUUAUCAGUAUUAUAUUUAAAGACAGAUGCAAGAUUACGUGACUAGUAAAGCCACUUCACGCUCGACUGUCAUACUGUAUUCAAGCAACGCAAAAAUCGAAAUGAAACCAUGUUUAAAUUUUCUACGAACAACGUGUUGCAUAUGAAAGAAAAGUAUUAUUUGUGCCUUAAUUUAAAUACUUUGUCCUGUACGGUCGUAGCGCUCAAUAUUUUGAAACCUGUGUGAUUUGAAAACUGUGAUGGUUUGACCUCAUCUGUGUUUUUCUGGUGAUUUCAUUGUAAUCCAAGCAGGUGGGGUGACAACUAAAGUUCGAAGGCACGAAUUGCGCGUCCAUCCUUACCAAAGGGUAGUGACCGCAGAACGAGCCACCACUGGCAACUAACACCUGACCUUCUGACCUCUUCACCCAAAGAUGACCUCCCCAUUCCCUGCCUGCAGAUCACAUCUCUGCUCUUAAAAUGAAUACAUGAAAGACAAAAAGAGUAUCUAAGAGCCUUCACUUGUCAAAGGCGGUGGAUAUGCUUUUGCGUGGGACGCGGGCGGCAGACGCCCGUCACUCCGGACUCAUUUCUCGGAGGGGUGGAUGGUCCUGCGACUGUAGAUCUGCACUCUUUUUCUUAUGCAAUAAGCAAUAAUAAUUUGCCCAAUACUCUCUAAAUGAAAGCCAGACCUUCAGCGAUUCCCAACACGAAACCGGUGAGGAAAGGACGCCAACUGCCCUCCAGUCACUCAAGUUACGGUAAUGAGUCCGUCAAUGAAUGUAUUGCAUGAUGGUGUGGAGGGUGCAUUCACCUCGCAUCAUAGAAAUCCUGUCAGCCACCGAACAUCUGCAGCUCAAUGUCUCUGCCGUUGAGUAUCACAACAGAACAUUUGAGAAUCGAUCACAGCGCAGCGGUGUGAGGCAGCGACGACUCAAUCCAAUAUGUAAGAAAAUGUAUUUUCUGCAUCAGUGUAAGGCAUUUCCCUUCCAGAACAAUCCAACACUUCAGCGAACGAGCCUCCUCGAGGAUGUAAAAGCCAUGCUUGCCUAUCUGCUGUACAAAUGUAUGAAAUCUGUAGAUAAAUGUUCAGAGUAAAAAAGAAUGUACAGAAAACGUUUUAAUAUCAAACAGAGAACGUAUAUUUUUACAAGUUAAGUUUUUAUACUAUCCGAGAAAAAUAAACAAUAGUACUGAACCCUUUACGAAGUGAAAACAAUCCAGUUUUAUUUAAUUGGAUGAUGACGUGGAUGACCAAAACAAACCUCUCAUCGUGCAGAUGGGGUUACUAGGGAAAUAUCAUGAAAGUGCCUUGUGAUUUCUCAUGGUUCGUGUUCGAUCUGAAUGUCAUCCCAAGUGGCGAAUGAGCAGAACGGUACACACAGCUUUACCGCGGUAAACCACCAGCCUGUACCUGCCUUCCUGUUUCUACUGCAACCAAUCUAAUUUUCAUCCUAAUUCAAGGCCUUUUACACCACACGGUUUUUGACUGACUCGGGUAGUCGACGCUUAUUUAUUGCCUUUAAUCUUGACCAUUCACAAUUGUGGAUAUCUCACUCGCCAUAUUUGAGAAAUGCAUUUUCUGUCGAAUUGUGUGCUUUGUAAUAUUAGUGUGGAAAUAUGUCACAACACGGGUGGUGAUGGGAACACACUGAAAUGUUUUUGUGGUAGAGCUGUGUGUACUGGCAGAGCCAGACUGCACCAUAGAAAUGUGUAUUCCCCCUCAAAACUCUUUCUUUACUAUGCAACAGAAUGACCUAUGACGUCUUGAGGGGAGUCUCUGUGAUCUCAAACAUGUCUUCCUGUUGUGUCUUUCUUCGGUUUUCACCAUUCAGCAGUGCCAUAUAGUAGUAUGAUCAAGACAGAAGGUAUUGAUGUCAAUGUCCAAUGUGUCAGGAUUUCGUCAGAUUGAGUUUUUGGUUUUUCGAUUACUAAGAGAAUGAGAAAUGUCCAAAAUAUACUAAAGAUUAUUUUGUAAUCGAUAAAGCAUGAUGUCUCACUCUCGAUAGCAAUGACGAGUAUAGUAUUCUGGUUUGUACUGGUAAAUAAUACGUUUGAGUAUAUGUGAAGGUGAAGUGUGUUAUUUCAGCAAACCUAAACAGGUUUUCCAAAACCAAAACUUUUAUGAGGUAUGUUGGAUGAAAAGCUAGCUCCUUUUAAAAAAUUAAUCAAAUAUUUUGUAAUUGGAAAUUUAAAAAGAAAAGUAUUUUAACUUUAAAUCACACAUUGGAUUUAUAAUCACGUAAUAAUAAAAAUGACACAAUUCACAUAAUUCAAGAAUUAUGUUUUUCAUGAGAUGUUGUCUAUCAUACAUGUGCAUAUGAGUCUUUCAGCCCCAAACAUGUGUGUUCCCUGCCUAAGUAUUGCCUAUAAGAAGACAUGUCUGUUUUUACAGCCAUUGUUACGAGUUUAUAAUGUAUUUUUCUAUCUUAUUUUAUAUGUAUGUAAAAACCACAUUAAAUGCCUUGUCUGUUUCCUGA